UACGUAGGGUGCAAGCGUUGUCCGGAAUUAUUGGGCGUAAAGAGCUCGUAGGCGGUCUGUUGCGUCCGCUGUGAAAACUCGGGGCUUAACCCCGAGCCUGCAGUGGAUACGGGCAGACUAGAGGUAGGUAGGGGAGAAUGGAAUUCCCGGUGUAGCGGUGAAGUGCGCAGAUAUCGGGAGGAACACCGGUGGCGAAGGCGGAUCUCUGGGCCAUUACUGACGCUGAGGAGCGAAAGCGUGGGGAGCGAACAGG
rnacentral:rRNA from 1 species